rnacentral:pre_miRNA from 1 species
CAUGUACUCCCUCCGUCCAGAAUUACUUGUCAUCAAAAUGGAUGUAUCUAAAACUAAAAUACAUCUAGAUACAUCCAUUUCAAUGACAAGUAUUUCCGGAUGGAGGGAGUACAAG